rnacentral:tRNA from 2 species
GGUAAGAUGGCUGAGAACUAAGUGGCGGAUUGUAAUCCCGUGAACAGAGGUUAAAUUCCUCUUCUUACCA